AGGAUCUCACUGCAGAUUCGCCCUUAGAGUUUGAUCCUGGCUCAGAACGAACGCUGGCGGCGUGCUUAACACAUGCAAGUCGAGUGCGCGCCUGUAGCAAUACAGGUGGCGCACGGCGCACGGGUGCGUAACACGUGGGUAAUCUGCCCUCUGAUGGGGAAUAACUCGCCGAAAGGCGAGCUAAUUCCGCAUAACAUUCCGGGAACCUUGGUUCUUGGACUCAAAGGCGUAAGUCGUCGGAGGAGGAGCCCGCGCACGAUUAGCUAGUUGGUGAGGUAAUGGCUCACCAAGGCUAUGAUCGUUAGCUGGUCUGAGAGGAUGGCCAGCCACACUGGAACUGAGACACGGUCCAGACUCCUACGGGAGGCAGCAGUGGGGAAUCUUGCACAAUGGGCGAAAGCCUGAUGCAGCGACGCCGCGUGGGGGAUGAAGCUUCUCGGAGUGUAAACCCCUUUCGACCCGGACGAAUACCUCGCAAGAGGGGUGACGGUACGGGUAUAAGAAGCCCCGGCUAACUACGUGCCAGCAGCCGCGGUAAGACGUAGGGGGCCAGCGUUGUUCGGAAUUACUGGGUGUAAAGGGUUCGUAGGCGGUGUGGCAAGUCGGGAGUGAAAUCUCUGGGCUCAACCCAGAGUCUGCUUCCGAAACUGCUGUGCUUGAGUGUGGGAGAGGCGCGUGGAAUUGCAGGUGUAGCGGUGAAAUGCGUAGAUAUCUGCAGGAACACCCGUGGCGAAAGCGGCGCGCUGGACCACUACUGACGCUGAGGACGAAAGCUAGGGGAGCAAACAGGAUUAGAUACCCUGGUAGUCUAGCCCUAAACGAUCAGACUUGGGGGUGCCACCCGUCGGUGUCGUCCAGAGCUACGCGUAAGUCCUGCACUUGGGGAGUACGUUCGCAGACUGGAACUCGAUGAAUGACGGGGCCGCACAGCGGUGACAUGUGGUCAUUCGACCCUACGCGACGGA
rnacentral:rRNA from 1 species